rnacentral:misc_RNA from 1 species
GAUGAAGAACGCAGCGAAAUGCGAUAAGUAAUGUGAAUUGCAGAAUUCAGUGAAUCAUCGAAUCUUUGAAUGCACAUUGCGCCCGCCAGUAUUCUGGCGGGCAUGCCUGUUCGAGCGUCAUUUCAACCAUCAAGCCCCAGGCUUGUGUUGGGGACCUGCGGCUGCCGCAGGCCCUGAAAACCAGUGGCGGGCUCGCUGUCACACCGGGCGUAGUAGAUUUUAUCUCGCUCAGGGCGUGCUGCGGGUUCCGGCCGUUAAAAAGCCUUUUUUACCCAAGGUUGACCUCGGAUCAGGUAGGAAUACCCGCUGAACUUAAGCAUAUCAAUAAGCGGAGGA